GACGAACCGUGCGAACGUUAUUCGGAAUCACUGGGCUUAAAGCGCGUGUAGGCGGAUGAGCACGUCUGUCGCUGAAAUCCCCCGGCUCAACCGGGGAACGGGCGUGGAUACGGCUUGUCUGGAGGGGCGUAGGGGGACCUGGAACUUCCGGUGGAGCGGUGAAAUGCGUUGAGAUCGGGAGGAACAUCAGUGGCGAAGGCGGCCAUCUGGAUCAACACUGACGCUGAAGCACGAAAGCGUGGGGAGCAAACAGG
rnacentral:rRNA from 1 species